rnacentral:lncRNA from 1 species
CUUGUUGUAAGAAAAUUUUUUCUUCUCCUCAUUUAUGUAUUCAUUCCUUAGUAUCUAUAUGGCUUUCUGUUUUAUCCAAUAGGUUAUGUUAUUAUUAUCUAGUUUGGUGUUCAAAUUAUGUCAGAACAAGCAGGACCCCUUUAGAGCUGGCUCCUCUGUCCUUUUAAUUCAUCUCCACCGAUUUUUGAGCACAUGCUCACUUUCUGGCACAAAAGAUGUUAUAGGUUCAUCUUGUGCUUUUCCUACCUCAACCCUGGAAUCAGCCAUUUUCCCAAGAAAUCCUGGUUGCUUUUAGGGGAGAAUGGUAUUUAGAAACCAAGAUUUGAGUGCUGGGCGUGCUCAUUGCUGUCGGGGUGUUAUUGCACCCAGGCCUUCUUGGUGGAUAAAGCUAGCAACACAUGUACGUACACACACAAUUAUAUCUAUAUUCAUUUCUGUAUCUGUCCAUAAGUAUUGAAAACCAUUAGCUCAUCCCUCCAAUUAUAAUCUAACACACAGCGUUCAUUCCAGUUUCCUCCUUUUCCAUGUCUGUAACUUCUGUGGCAGUGAGAAACCUGGCUUUCAUUUUCCUCAAUAUUUUGCUUAUUUGAUCAAUCUUUUCUAGGUAACCAACCUACCUCCAUGAUGCCAUGUGCUUCUCAGUAAGAAGCUCCCAGAACCAAGUCCUUUUGGGUUGUUUAAUUUUUUAAUUUAUUUUAUAUUUUUCCAUAGGUUAUUGGGGAACAGGUUGUGUUUGGUUACAUAAGUAGGUUCUUUAGUGGUGAUUUGUGAGAUUUUGGUGUACCCAUCACCCAAGCAGUAUACACUGCACCCUAUUUGCAGUCUUUUAUCCCGCGCCCCCCCACCCAUCCCCCCAGCCUGGACAACAUGGUGAGACCUGGUCUCUACAAAAAAUAUUUUUUAAAAAUUAGCCAGGCAUAGUGGUGUGCACCUGUGGUCCCAGAUACUCGGGAGGCUGAAGUAGGAUUGCUUGAGCCAAGGAGGUAGAGGCUGCAGCGAGCCCUGAUCAUGACCCUGCACUCCAGCCUGGGCAACAGAGUGAGACCCUGUCUCUGUCUCUACAAAAAAAAAAUAAAAAAUUAGCCUGGCAUGGUGGUGUGUGCCUGUAAUUUUAGCUACUUGGGAGGCUGAGGCAAGAGAAUCACUUAAGCCUGAGAGGUUGAGGCUGCAAGGAGCUAUGAUCAUGCCACUGCACUUCAGCCUGGAUAACAGAACAAGACCCUGUCUCCAAAAAAAAAAAAAAAAAGAAGAAGAAGAAGAAGAAGAGAGGAUUCUAGAUCGUUAUUAUCCUCAGUACCUGGAAAAAAGAAAAGGAAAAGAAAUAUUAUCUUUAAAGGGGAAUUACAUCCCUCAGGUCUCAAGUGUUUUCUACAAUUAAUUUUUUUUUCUUUUUAGACGGAGUCCCCUUCUGUUUCCAGUCUGGAGUGCAGUGGCGUGAUCUUGGCUUACUGCAAUCUCCGCCUCCUGGGUUCAAACGAUACCCCUGCCUCAGCCUCCCAAGUAGCUGGGACUACAGGCAUGUGCCACCAUGCCCAACUAAUUUUUGUAUGUUUAGUAGAGAUGGGGUUUCACCAUGUUGGCCAUGCUGGUCUCAAACUCCUCAAGUGAUCCGCUGGCCUCGGUCUCCCAAAGUGCUGGGAUUACAGGCAUGAGCCACCACGCCCAGCCAUGUUGGCCAGGCUGGUCUCAAACUCCUGACCUCAAAUGAUCUGCCUGCCUAGGCCUCCCUAAGUGCUGGGAUUACAGGUAUGAGCCACCACGUCCAGCCAAAUUUUUUUUUAAAGGAGCUCAAUGUUUAAAAGUCAGCUUAAUUAAAAGCUAAUAUUCAAGGUGUGUGUCUGUGUGUGUGUGUGUGUGUGUGUGUGUGUGUGUGUGUGUGUAUUUAAAAGGCCUUUGUGGUUUUCUUUUCUCUCCUAGGACCUUGUUUUGUUUUUUUCUUUCUUUUUUUUUUUUUUGAGAAAAAGGUUUUUUUUUUCUUCUUAGUCAACUGAAUUCUGUUUUCUUCAUUUACUUCUGCUGUCUCUCCUUUCUCUUGCCACCCUCUGCUUCAUGAGGAAUCUAAAAUAGUUUCUAACGGCCUGAGAUUCCUUAAAGAAAACAGAGAAGGUGCCAGACUCCCUUUUGGGAGGAAAUCUCUGUUUUUCCUUAUGGAACCCCAAGAAUGUAAACAGACGAGUUCAUCUCAGAUCUUAAACUGCUUGCUUUUGUAUUGUGUUACCUGAUUUUUUUUUACUAAAACAGUUAUUACAACAGAGGUUACUCUUGGNNNNNNNNNNCCACCCGGGUUCACGCCAUUCUCCUGCCUCAGCCUCCUGAGUAGCUGGUACUACAGGCGCCCGCCACCACGCCCGGCUAAUUUUUUUGGAUUUUUAGUGGAGAGGGGGUUUCACUGUGUUAGCCAGCAUGGUCUCAAUCUCCUGACCUCGUGAUCCACCUGCCUCAGCCUCCCAAAGUGUUGGGAUUAUAGGCAUGAACCACCGCACCUGGCCUAAUUUUUUGUAUUUUAGUGGAGACAGGGUUUCACCAUGUUGGCCAGGAUGGUCUCGUUCUCCUGACCUCGUGAUCUGCCCACCUCAGCCUCCCAAAGUUAUGGGAUUACAGGCGUGAGCCACUGCGCCUGGCCUCUAUAGUUAAUUUUUAAAAUAGUUAUCAGGCCAGGUGUGAUGGUUCACACUUGUAGUCUCAGCACUUUGGGAAGCCGAAGUGGGUAGAUCACUUGAGGCCAGGAGUUCGAGACCAGCCUGGCCAACAUGGCGAAACCCCAUCUCUACUGAAAAUACAAAAAUUAGCUGGAUGUGGUGGUGGCCACCUGUAAUCCCAGCUACUCGGGAGGCUGAGGCAGGAGAAUCGCUGGAACCUGGAAGGUGGGGGUUGCAGUGAGCAGACACAGAGUCACUGAACUCUAGCCUGGGAGACAGAGCAAGACUCUGUCUCAAAAUAAAAUAAAAUAAAACAAAAUAAAAUAAAAUAAGGUAUCAACUACACAUUCCAAAAUAAUCAGAUGCAUGAAGAGACACUUAGAGCAAGAACCAGCACAAACAGUAACAGAGGGACACAAUAUUCAAUAUACUAUAAAAACUGUAGACUAUGGAAUAAUUAUGUUUACUAUGUUCAAGGAAAUACAUGCUAUGCUUGAAUUUUUUGGCCAAAAAUAAAAAAGCAGCAGCAGCAAAACCUGACAUAGCAGCUUUGACAAAGAACCAAAUAGAAAUUCUAGAACUAAAAAAUAACUAAAAUUAGGAAUUCAGUGGAAUUCAAUUAUUAGUUUAUUAUACAUAGCUAUAGAGAGAAUUAGUGAACUGGAAUAUAGGUCAGAAUAAACCUGGCAAAAUAAAGCAUGAAGAAACAAAACCUCUCUGCCUCUUGUCUCUCAGAAGAGAGAUGAAAAGAUCUAAUCUGUUUCAUUAGAGCCUCAGAAGAGUGGCUGGAGGAAAUGGUGCAGAGGCAUUUGGAAAGAUUACGGCUGAGAUUUCUCUAGAUUUGAGGAAGAACUAAUGUUAAUACUCAUAGAUGAGUUAAUACUCAUAGAUUCAAGAGGCCCGCAAAUACCAAGUAGUUUAAAUAAAGAGAAGGAGGAAGUAAUUGCAGCUUUGGCUGCCUCACAGAGAAGCCACUGUCCCUGCCAUGAUGAUGAAAUUCCAGGAGGCACCACAUCAGCCCCUGCCCCACUGUGACCCUCGCCCAGACCACAUGGAUGGAGGAAACUGAGUCAUGGUGUCAGGGAGUCAUACCCUGGUCACUGCCCAAGAGCUACCUUCGAAUCCUCAUUUUGAAAGUGAACUUGCAUAAUUUUCACUCCGUGUACUCUGGAGCCUAUGUAUAAGAAACUAAACUUUAGAAGCAAGGAGAUAGGACAAGAGGAAAGGCAGUCAACUUGGCCACCAUACUGGUGACAAAGGUGUGCACCAAUGGGAGGGGAGCUGGGGUAAUGAUUCAGCCUGGAAAGGUGAGUAGAACCAGAGGGAAGGCACGAGGAUGACCCAUCAGGACCAGGUGGAAAAUUCCACUGGGAUCUGUGCAGUCCCUACACCCAGCCUCCCGCAACCAUCCUCAACCCAACAGCCCCACAAUCCCAUUCUACCACAAAGAUUAUGUAGCUCCUUCUUUACUGUCCUGAAAUGGAAUUCAGAGAUACAUUUUUAGACCUCAAUAUAAUUCUCUGACAGUAAUAAAGAAGAAAUAAAGAUAACUUAAAUAAAGUAAUCUGUAUUAUAAUAGAUAAGUGUCCAAGCACAGCUCCACUAGGAGACACGGUCUUCCAAAUGGGUGACUAAGUCUCGAUAAAAAUUGGAACAAAACAAAGUACAAUCUCAUUUCACAUGAUAGUUGAAAACUUCAGGAUUCAGUUACAAAUAUAUAUAAUAUAAAAUAUAACAUAUUAUAUUUUUAUAUAUAGUAAAAUAAUAUUAGGUUUUAGGUGCUGAAUGAUUAUAAACAAAGUACUGUAAUAAAAUUUGAUUUUGAAAUUAUGAGACUUCUUUAGCAUUUCAGAAUAACUUUAAAAUGAUUUAAAAUGAUUUUAAAUGCAGUCCAGUGGACAUUCAGAAGUUGUGCGGGAUACGGAUGAAUCUUGGUGGUGUGGGACCAUCUUGCCCACUGUGGAACAUUUUAAGUCCCCACCCCAGUUUUUGCAGAUGCCAACAGUGUCCUCACCCAGUCACUGUGAUACAAAAUGCCUCCAGAAGUCUCCAAACCUAUUCCGGGUUCUGCCCGUGUUGAGGGCUCCUGGUUUAGGGUGUGGGCUGGGGCUGGCACUGUGGGUGGACACUUGUUCCUCUGACUGCCUGCUGGCCUCACCACCCCUGUGGGCCACAGCCUUGGAAAGGACAGUCCUCAUUGGCUUUUUCUUCAAACACGACCCUGGGGAUGGCUUUAGUAGCUCCUGGAAUGGGGAAUCUUAGCCCCGUCUAUGGUCAGGUGUCUCCCCAGCUCGCUGAAGAAGAAUGUGAAGGGAGAAAGGCUGAGAAGGGCCCCAUUAAAGGCGGAAGAAUCGCUUCCUCACCUUUCCCCAGUGAGAGGAGAUGCGCUUUAUUUGUCCAUAAAACACACCCAUAGCAAAGGCCUGGCACGGUGCACAGUGUGGGGAGCAGAGGAUGGGGUCCUGCCCUCCUAGAGUGUACAGCCUGGGUGUGUGGGGGAGAGAGAUAAUAAACAAGGAAAUAAACUGUUACGAGUGUCCUAACAGUCACAGGAAAGAACAAGUGCUGUGUGUGGAAGAAUAAACCAGAAGGACGCCACAAAGGAGGGACGGUUGGGGUGGCGGCGGCCACAAGAAGCUCCCACUCUGUCUUCAGAGCUUUGGGUUGGGGGGCGGGUGCCCAAGCUAUACUCACCCCUGAGGCUGUUGGUCUCUGGCCAACUUUAACAAUGAUUCAGGUCUCACUGGACGCACAAGGUAUACGUCCUUUCAGAAAGAAUGCAGAGCAAUGGAAGAGUGGGUGGAUUCUUUAACAAAGAAAUUGCAAAAUUCCAGCAAAAUACAACAUUUUGGAAGGAAAAUCCCUUAGAGGCUCCCCUUUGGUGGCAUAGCAUCAUGGAAAUGACCCAAAGAAGAAAUGAAACAUUUAAAGAACAUCCUAAGUUUUAAAUUAGACCCAAAUGCUGCAACCUCAUCAAAUAAACACCCAAUCCACCAAAUUCUAGCCCCACCAGGAGGAGUUAAGGAAGGAGCACUCUCUCAAAAUGGCAUCCGGGGCCAGCCCUGUGAUGGGCGGGCUCGGGUCACGUGAUCCCAACUGCGUCUUCAGGACUGAUCUCUUGUGAGGCUCUUAAAGCGGCGCUCCCCAACCUUUCUAGCACCAGGGACUGGUUUGGAGGAAGGCAAAUUUUCCAGAUGGUGGGGGAUGGGGGUGGGGGUGGUUUCAGGAUGAUUCAAGGGCAUUUCAUUUAUUGUGCACUUUAUUUCUAUUAUUUUUACGUUGUAAUAUAUAAGGAAGUAUUUAUACCCCUCACCAUAAUGUAGAAUCAGUAGGAGCCCUGAGCUUGUUUUCCUGCAAUGCGACGGCGACAGAUCAUUAGACAUCAGGUUCUCAUAAGGAGCGCACAGCCUAGAUCCCUUGCAUGCGCGGUUCACAGCAGAGUUCGUGCUCCUGUGAGAAUCUAACGCCGGCACUAAUCUGACCUGAGUGGCGCUCUGGUGGUCACGUGAGCAACGGGGAAGCGGCCGUAAGUACAGAUGAAGCUUCACUAGGUCACCAGCCGCUCAUCUCCUGCUGUGUGGCCUG